AUUGAACGCUGGCGGCAGGCCUAACACAUGCAAGUCGAACGGUAACAGGAAGAAGCUUGCUUCUUUGCUGACGAGUGGCGGACGGGUGAGUAAUGUCUGGGAAACUGCCUGAUGUAGGGUGAUAACUACUGGAAACGGUAGCUAAUACCGCAUAACGUCGCAAGACCAAAGAGGGGGACCUUCUGGCCUCUUGCCAUCGGAUUUGCCCAGAUGGGAUUAGCUAGUAGGUGGGGUAACGGCUCACCUAGGCGACGAUCCCUAGCUGGUCUGAGAGGAUGACCAGCCACACUGGAACUGAGCCACGGUCCAGACUCCUACGGGAGGCAGCAGUGGGGAAUAUUGGACAAUGGGCGCAAGCAUGAUGCAGCCAUGCCGCGUGUAUGAAGAAGGCCUUCGGGUUGUAAAGUACUUUCAGCGGGGAGGAAGGGAGUAAAGUUAAUACCUUUACUCAUUGACGUUACCCGCAGAAGAAGCACCGGCUAACUCCGUG
rnacentral:rRNA from 1 species